UCUUCGUUGUCCCUCGCCUAGUAAUUUGAUUUGCUGGUUAUGGAUUGUUGCAAACGGUUGCCUGUAUUGUUCUACCCUUGUUGGUAGCGCAUGAUUGUCCCGUCGGUGUCUUUUUAGCUUGUUUUGUUAACGUUUGUUGACAAGACGGCCGGGAUGUUAGCGACUUCAAGUGUUUCCAUGUACGCUGUAAUGGUAAUGCACUUGGAUGUUUGUUGGGUCUCAUGGAUGUCGUCCCUAUUUUGAGCUCUGCGGGCUUCGUGCCUGCAGAACCUGUGAGGUUGCCCCUGCAUAAAACAUUGCUCUAUUUGCUUCACCAACAUGUCGUGGUUUAAGCGUCAUGUUAUAGCACGUGUUGCUCUUGGAGUGGUGUUGUUUGCCUGUGGCAUGCCUCUUAGACCGAAUGACUUACGAUUGCUGUUUUGCGUAAUCACCCGACCCCUACCAAUAUGGUAUGUGUUGGAGAUAACGUUUCAGCUCUCGUUUAAGAUGUGCUACCUGGUUGAUCCUGCCAGUAGUCAUAGGCCUUG
rnacentral:misc_RNA from 1 species